rnacentral:rRNA from 1 species
AUGGCUGCCAUUAAGCUUGUGUCCCUUGGCUUGGUUGUGCUACUGAGCAUUGGGUUAGCCAGCGCCACUAGGGUAAUUAGAUACGCCAGCUCCACGGGGACAGGCUCGGGAGUGGGGAAUGGUGGUGGCACUGUGAACGGCAGCGGUGGAGGGACUGGGAGUGGCAAUGGGAAUGCCUACAGUGGUAGUAGUGGAGCCCAUGCAAAUGCGGGAGGGGGCGGUAGCGGGGGUGGUGCGUCGCAGGAUGGCGGCACUGGACAUGGCGCUGGGUCCGGCGACGGCUCAAGCUCUAGCUAUACGAGCGACGGAAGAUAUAGUUAUGGUGGAGAUUCUUACGCAGGCGGCAAUGGUGGCGGUAGCGGUGGAGGACAGGCAGCGGGCCCUGGUUCCAGCGGUUCCGGAGCCGGUGGUGGUGCUGGUUCUGGCUCUAGCGCGGCAAGUGGUGGUUGGUACCAAUAUGCGAAUGCAAAUGCUAAUGGUAAUGGUGGAGGCACGGGAGUUGGUCAGAACGGCGGCAGCGGUGGCGGCACGGGAGGUGGCAGCGGUAAUGCUGGUGCAUACCCUUAA